GGAUUCCCCUAGUAACUGCGAGUGAAGCGGGAAAAGCUCAAAUUUAAAAUCUGGCAGUCUCUGGCUGUCCGAGUUGUAAUCUAGAGAAGUAAUGCCCGUGCUGGACCGUGUAUAAGUCUCCUGGGAUGGGGCGUCAUAGAGGGUGAGAAUCCCGUCUUUGACACGGACUACCAGUGCAUUGUGGUAUGCUCUCAAAGAGUCGAGUUGUUUGGGAAUGCAGCUCAAAAUGGGUGGUAAAUUCCAUCUAAAGCUAAAUAUUGGCGAGAGACCGAUAGCGAACAAGUACCGUGAGGGAAAGAUGAAAAGAACUUUGGAAAGAGAGUUAAACAGUACGUGAAAUUGCUGAAAGGGAAACGCUUGAAGUCAGUCGCGUUGGCCGGGAAUCAGCCUUGCUUUUGCAUGGUGUACUUUCUGGUUGACGGGUCAGCAUCAAUUUUGACCGCUGGAAAAAGGCCUGGGGAAUGUGGCAGCUUCGGCUGUGUUAUAGCCCCUAGUCGCAUACAGUGGUUGGGAUUGAGGAACUCAGCACGCCGCAAGGCCGGGUUUCGACCACGUUCGUGCUUAGGAUGCUGGCAUAAUGGCUUUAAGCGACCCGUCUUGAAACACGGACCAAGGAGUCUAACAUGCCUGCGAGUAUUUGGGUGGAAAACUCAAGUGCGUAAUGAAAGUGAAAGUUGAGAUCCCUGUCGUGGGGAGCAUCGACGCCCGGACCAGAACUUUUGGGACGGAUCCGCGGUGGAGCAUGUAUGUUGGGACCCGAAAGAUGGUGAACUAUGCCUGAAUAGGGUGAAGCCAGAGGAAACUCUGGUGGAGGCUCGUAGCGAUUCUGACGUGCAAAUCGAUCGUCAAAUUUGGG
rnacentral:rRNA from 1 species